UACAUAUAACAAAAUGGAUAUCGUGCUUCUGGAUUUUUUCCACGGCAGUAAUACUUUUUUAAGUUUAUUAAGCAUAUUUUUCAAGAUGAAAGCAAUACUUGAACAUUUGAAAUAAUGGAUAUUAUAGGAGAACCUCAGGAGAUAACAUGAAAUAAAUGAGUAGUAUUCAAAGUUAUGGGUGCAUUUCCAUCCUGGUUUCUCAUAUAUUUUAAUGCAAGGGUUGUUUUGCUUGUGUCAUGGCACCAGGAGAUUUUAUCCAUUACUUUAGCCUCCCUAGUCCCUUCUGAAUGUGCAGCAGGUGGGAAUCAUAGCAGAGUGAAGAAUCAUAAGCUUAUUCUAUUAAUAGAGACACUGGAGUGGGCUCUGCCCCUUGUCAAGUCUAAUGAUAAAAAGGACACCCGUGGUCCCCAGAACAGCCCUGCCCUCUCAGCACCUUCCAGGACUGUGGGGCUGAGAGCCUGGGAACCACACUUCCAGGACUCCCCUGCCUGCAGGACUUGUGUGAGAUGCAGCUACUGUGAGGUUGCAAUGACAGCCGGAAGGCAGAAGUGGGGGAGGAGCCACGAUCUCCUCCCAUGGCAGCCACAGGUGUCACCAAGUGGCAGAUAUGGGGCUGUGCCAACAGCUUCCAGGGUUCAUCCCAGCUACCACUCAUGUACCCACUGCCAGCUGCUGAGACAGUCUCUGAUCUCCUGGAGAGCAGCUCUCUGAGCCUGCCCAGAGCCCCUAGAAGUCAGCAGCACCUCCUGAGCCCAGCCUCCUGCCCAGCUCUUCCUCCUAGUUUCCUGAAUCCACUCCUUUCUGAUUAAAACUCCUGGAUGGUUGCUCUGUCCCUAACUCCUGGCUGAUGAGCCUUCCAAAUCCAGGCCUCUGGUGUCUCACCAGAAAAAGACAAGUGGGAUGGGACCAGCAUUGCAGCACAGUGGGUUAAGCCUCAGCCUGUGGAUGCCAGCAUCCCAUAUGAGCAUUGGUCUGAGUCCCAGGUGCUCCAUUUCCAAUCCAGCUCCCUGCUAAUGUACCUGAGAAGGCAGCAGGUGGUGGCCAAGUGCUUGGGCCCCUGCUGCCAUGUGGGAGACCUGGAUGGAGUUCCCAUCUCCUGCUUCAGCCUGGCCCAGCUGGCUAUUUGAGGAGUGAACCAGUGGAUGGAAGAUUGCUUCUUAUCUCUCCCUCUAUCUAUCUGUCACUCUGCUUUUCAUAUGGAGUCCCAGGAGGGCCAGGCCCAGCCACCAGACUGGAUUGCUGGGCUCUGAGCAUGGAGUCCCAUCGGCUCCAACUUAUGAGCCUCCAGUGGUAGCAACACCUGGCUGAGCAAUGGUGUUUAUGACUGGAGUCUAACUCCUAAUCUGUGUGCUUCAAGGGUGUUCCUCAUGGCUGAAAUUUAAACACAAAACAUUGAUUUUGCUAUUUUCCAAACACGUGAAUUAUUUAAGCACCAUGGGGCUAUACCUAGAACUAGAGCAAAAGACUCCCUCUCAUUUCUUCCAGAAGCUUCCUCCCCACUGUGCCAGGGAGAGAACAGUGCAGAAAGAUGGCUGGGUCAUGAUGUGCCACAAGUACCAUCAAUGCCACCUUCAGCUCCUCGUGAACAACCAUGAGGAGCUUCAUCUGUCCCAGAGCUACUGGGCAUUGUGCCCUCUGCACCACAUGGAGCUUAGAGUGGACUGAGACCCAGGGAGGCCAGCAUCUCUGAUGAGAUGUGUAGGCUCCAGCGUGUGUCCGGACAGGAGAGAACACGUACGGUGAUGGGAGACAUACUUUGUUAGUUACAAUCCUUCUGCUGCCUUCUGCGAAAAAUAUACUCCCAAAGACUCCAUUGGUCUUUUUUUUAAGAUUUUUAUUUAUCUAUUUGACAGAGUCACAGAGAGAGAGAGAGAGAGAGAAAGAGAGAGAGAGAGAAAGGUCUUCACUUCCCAAGUGGUCGCAACAGCUGGAGCUGCACCGGUCUGAAGCCAGGAGCCAGGUGCCUUUUCCCAGUCUCCCAUGUGGGUGCAGGGGCCCAAGAACUUGGGCCAUCCUCCACUGCUUUUACAGGCCACAGCAGAGAGCUGGACUGGAAGAGGAGCAACUGGGACUAGAACCCGGCACCCAUAUGGGAUGCCGGUGCUGCAGGUGGAGGAUUAACUUAGUGAGCCAUGGCGCCAGCCCCAAAGACCCCACUGUUAACUGAAAGGAUAUUGUGUGUGAGGACCCAAGAUUGCAGAAACCAGAGAAUAAGAGGAGCUGCAGGGAGGGCGAAAAAAGGCCAAUUUGAACAGCAUCUCCAGGGACCACGCCCCUCCGUGGGCUUGCAGAAACACAAGCAAAGAAUGCAGAUUAGGCUAAUCAGCCCUGUCAGGAAUCAGAAGAGCCCUUCUGAAGCCGAUGUCAGCCUGUUCCUCAGCACCAACCACCCCCCACCACCACCUCUGCUUUGGACCAGAGCCGGGCACUUCACCGAGGCUGAAGGGGGGCUGGCAAAGGCUAAACUGGCAGCAGGCAGCAUUUCCAGCAUGCAGUCUCUCCCAUGAAGGUGGAGAAGGAACUCCUUCCCGCAGCGGCCCAACUUCCGGGAGCCAGGGGCGACUCCAGCAGAAACCACGACCUCGUGCGGAGGACAUGCUGGAGAAGCCCCCAGGGCCCUGGUGCACUGGAUUCUUCCUGUGAGAACCUCAUUCCUCUCUGUUCCGUGUCUCCCAGUCCACCUCCUGCCUCCGAGUCCCCUCCACACGGGGACUGCAGGGGACAGCGUCCAUGGAGCUGCUGGGAACUGCACGUCCACACCUGUAUCCAGGCAUCUGUAGGGGGAGCUGCCAUGUUCUUGCCUGAUCCCUCCUACCUAGACCACUCUGGGCCAUUGAGACUCUUCCCUGGAACUGGGGUCUUAGAAGCCCAUUCAUUUUUAGUGGCUGAGAUCGCAGGCAGAAAGCUCAGGCACUGUCCAUGUCCAUCGUGGAGAACAGAGCCAAAGAAAGGAACGCAGGGAGCUGGUGCCCAGGGAAGAACAGGAACCAGAGGAGCUGAACAGAAGCAGAUGCUGCCAGGGACAUGGGCCACAAGAAAAGGGGGCUGGUGGAUCAACGGAGGUGACGUCGGCAGUGCAGACUGAGGAUGGUGAUUCGGGAGCUCCGACCAGACAGCACUGUCUCUGCAGGAAAAACCAAGCUGGAACUGGAAAGAUCAGUGCUGACUCUGCAUUUGUCUCCACUGUGAGAUACCAUGUCCAAUAUUGCCACGAUAAUUCAGCUGAUGGAAGUAAAAUGAUUCCAUCUCUUGACAACAGGUUUAUGACUCCUCUAUUUUUAAAAACAAGCUAAAUAUUUUAUUUCUUUCAAAGAAAAAUGUGAUUUUUUUUUUCCUUACCAGCCACAAUAACUUAAAUGAGUGACACCCUUCAGUGCAUAUAUGUAUCGUGUUUUUCUCUUUUUGAAUAGCUAAUACAUAUAUAUGACUGUCUUAGAAAACAGAGCACAGAGGGGUGGGUGGUAAAAAGUGAAUCUUCCCCUCUCCCACUCUGCAUUUAAAGCACUGAUACUGGGGUUGGCAUCCAGCACCAU